rnacentral:rRNA from 1 species
AUGGUGAAGUUCACAGCGGAGGAGCUCCGUGGAAUUAUGGAUAAAAAGAAUAAUAUUCGUAACAUGUCUGUUAUUGCUCAUGUUGACCAUGGCAAGUCUACGCUUACGGAUUCCCUUGUGGCAGCUGCCGGGAUUAUCGCCCAGGAAGUUGCUGGUGAUGUUCGCAUGACUGAUACCCGUGCAGAUGAGGCAGAACGUGGUAUUACAAUCAAAUCCACGGGUAUCUCUCUGUUCUAUCAGAUGACUCCUGAAUCACUUGAGAUGUACAAGGGUGACAGGGAUGGGGACGAAUACCUGAUCAACCUUAUUGACUCACCUGGUCAUGUUGACUUCUCUUCGGAAGUGACAGCUGCUCUUCGUAUCACUGAUGGUGCUUUGGUGGUGGUUGACUGUAUUGAGGGUGUCUGUGUGCAGACCGAAACUGUGCUGCGCCAAGCUCUUGGUGAGAGGAUUAGGCCUGUCCUCACCGUGAACAAGAUGGACAGAUGCUUCCUUGAGCUUCAAGUGGAAGGUGAGGAAGCAUACCAGACUUUCUCCCGUGUCAUUGAAAAUGCCAAUGUCAUCAUGGCAACAUAUGAAGAUGUGCUCCUUGGUGAUGUCCAAGUGUACCCGGAGAAAGGGACUGUUGCAUUCUCUGCUGGUUUGCAUGGGUGGGCUUUCACCCUUACAAACUUUGCUAAGAUGUAUGCCUCCAAGUUUGGAGUUGAUGAGGCGAAGAUGAUGGAGAGGCUUUGGGGUGAGAAUUUCUUUGACCCAGCCACAAAGAAAUGGACCUCCAAGAACACUGGGACAGCUACUUGCAAGAGAGGUUUCGUUCAGUUCUGCUACGAGCCAAUCAAGCAAAUCAUCGCCACCUGCAUGAAUGAUCAGAAGGAUAAGUUGUGGCCUAUGUUGAAGAAGCUGGGUGUGACCAUGAAGAAUGAUGAGAAGGACUUGAUGGGCAAGGCUCUCAUGAAGCGUGUGAUGCAAACUUGGCUGCCUGCCAGUCGUGCUCUGCUUGAGAUGAUGAUAUUUCACCUCCCCUCUCCUUCGAAGGCACAGAGGUAUCGUGUGGAGAACUUAUAUGAGGGGCCUCUUGAUGAUAUAUAUGCAAAUGCUAUCAGGAACUGUGACCCUGAAGGUCCUCUGAUGUUGUAUGUCUCCAAGAUGAUUCCAGCAUCUGACAAGGGUAGAUUCUUUGCCUUUGGACGUGUUUUUGCUGGGAGGGUUGCAACUGGCAUGAAGGUCCGUAUCAUGGGUCCCAACUUUGUUCCUGGCCAGAAGAAGGAUCUGUAUGUGAAGAGUGUCCAGCGUACUGUUAUCUGGAUGGGAAAGAAGCAAGAGUCUGUUGAGGAUGUUCCCUGUGGUAACACUGUUGCUUUGGUUGGUUUGGAUCAGUUCAUCACCAAGAAUGCAACCCUGACAAAUGAGAAGGAAGUUGAUGCCUGCCCAAUCAGGGCUAUGAAGUUCUCUGUGUCCCCUGUUGUGCGUGUUGCCGUUCAGUGCAAGGUGGCAUCUGAUCUUCCUAAGCUUGUUGAGGGUUUGAAGCGGCUGGCGAAGUCUGACCCUAUGGUUCUCUGUAGCAUUGAAGAGUCUGGUGAGCAUAUCAUUGCUGGAGCUGGUGAGCUUCACCUUGAAAUCUGUUUGAAGGAUCUGCAGGAGGACUUCAUGGGUGGUGCUGAAAUUAUUGUCUCACCUCCUGUUGUCUCCUUCCGUGAGACUGUUCUGGAGAAGUCCUGCCGCACAGUUAUGAGCAAGUCCCCGAACAAGCACAACCGUCUUUACAUGGAGGCUCGCCCAUUGGAGGAGGGACUGGCUGAGGCCAUUGAUGAUGGCCGCAUUGGCCCACGUGAUGAUCCUAAGGUGCGCUCUAAGAUCCUAUCUGAGGAGUUUGGCUGGGACAAGGAUCUUGCCAAGAAGAUUUGGUGCUUUGGACCUGAGACGACUGGCCCCAACAUGGUUGUCGACAUGUGUAAGGGAGUGCAGUAUCUGAAUGAAAUCAAGGACUCUGUUGUGGCUGGGUUCCAGUGGGCAUCGAAAGAAGGUGCUUUGGCUGAGGAGAACAUGCGUGGCAUCUGCUUUGAGGUCUGUGAUGUUGUUCUGCACACUGAUGCUAUUCACAGGGGUGGUGGCCAGGUCAUCCCAACAGCCAGGAGGGUCAUUUAUGCUUCUCAGCUCACUGCUAAGCCAAGGCUGCUGGAGCCUGUGUACCUGGUUGAGAUCCAGGCCCCGGAGAAUGCACUUGGCGGUAUCUAUGGUGUUCUGAAUCAGAAGAGAGGGCACGUGUUUGAGGAGAUGCAGAGGCCUGGUACCCCGCUGUACAACAUCAAGGCUUACCUCCCGGUCAUCGAGUCGUUCGGGUUCUCAAGUACCCUCAGGGCUGCGACAUCUGGCCAGGCUUUCCCCCAGUGUGUGUUCGAUCACUGGGACAUCAUGUCUUCGGAUCCUUUGGAGGCCGGCUCCCAGUCUGCCACCCUUGUCACGGAGAUCCGCAAGCGCAAGGGUCUGAAGGAACAGAUGACCCCUCUGUCUGAUUUCGAGGACAAGCUCUAA